rnacentral:rRNA from 1 species
AGAGGUGGCAAGCGUUGUUCGGAAUUACUGGGCGUAAAGGGCGCGUAGGCGGCCUACUAAGUCAGACGUGAAAUCCCCCGGCUUAACCUGGGAACUGCGUCUGAUACUGGAAGGCUUGAGUAUGGGAGAGGGAUGUAGAAUUCCAGGUGUAGCGGUGAAAUGCGUAGAUAUCUGGAGGAAUACCGGUGGCGAAGGCGGCAUCCUGGACCAUUACUGACGCUGAGGCGCGAAAGCUAGGGGAGCAAACGGGAUUAGAUACCCCGGUAGUCCUAGCCCUAAACGAUGAAUACUUGGUGUGGCGGGUAUCGAUCCCUGCCGUGCCGAAGCUAACGCAUUAAGUAUUCCGCCUGGGGAGUACGGUCGCAAGGCCG